rnacentral:misc_RNA from 1 species
UAUAUAUAUAUAUAUAUAUAUAUAUAUAUAUAUAUAUAAAUAUAUAUAUAUAUGGUUUCAUUGACAUUUCAUCCUCUGCAUAAUCUGAGAUGGGAAGCUUGACUUAGAACUAAGAAAUUUUUAGUUUGAGUUCUAACACCACUCACUUAUCAAGUACAAAUAUUUAAGCUGAAACUUAUUUUCACAUAUAUUUUACUCCUCUUUCUUCAUAAUAUAUUCUUUUAUGUUUUUUAGUAUCAAUUUAAGAAUAUUUACUUUCUUAGAGAUAAGACAAAACAAUGUGGCCAAAUUAAUAAACCUUGUCCAGAAAGCAGCAACUGACUUUUACAAGAAAUUUUUGACUGACAGAAAAGAUCAUCUACAAUAAUGAUUAUGUUAUAUGAGAUAGCUGUCGUUAUGUGAGAGGCUUCAUAGCAUGAAAACAUUCAUGUCAGUCACAAAAGAUCUUGAAACAUUUAAAAUUUUCAGGUCAGAAUUCCCAAUCAGACACUACAAAUUCAUACCACUGAUAAAUGUUAAAUGGAACCUGAAGCAGGGAGGGUUUUCUGUUUCCUUCCAUGGGAACCAUAACCUGCCAAUCAUUGGUUGCAGCAGAUAUUACACACACAUUAUACUUGAUAAAACUGCAGACCUCUCUUUCACAUUCACACAACAACACAGAGUAAGCCACAUAUAACAGAUCUCGCGCACAACAGCAGCAGUGACUAUACAACUCUACAGCAGGAUACACAGCUCAGCUAAACAACACGUUGGACAGGAUUUACAAGCAGAAAUUGCUUUGAAAUAUUUUGUCUGAUUCACUUUUUUUUUUUUUUGGAUCCAAACUCUUUCUUUGACACUUUGACAUUCAAGACAUGUCAAUAACACUAUUUUUACUAGUGAUCAUGUUGAAUACAUCAGUAUGUAUAGACAUUACCUACCAUGUGAAAGAGGGUCAGAAUCCUAAUACCCUGGUAGGAAACAUAGCUUCUGAUGCACAUCUCUACAACAGCUUCAAUGCUGAAGACUUAAAUAGGAUUACAUUCAGCAGACUCCAUGAGAGUCUCAGUGGAAAUGCUCCAAUGUUUAAGGUUGGCAAAAAUGGAAUGAUGUAUACCUCUCAAACGCUUGACGCUGAGUCACUUUGUAAAUACAACACAGAAUGUUUCAAAAUAGUGGAAGUAGCUGUUCGGCAUAAAGAAUCUUUUGUGAAGGUCAUUGAAGUAAAAGUUAUUAUUGAUGAUGUUAACGAUCACCAGCCAGAAUUUAUAAGCAAAGAUGUCUAUAUUCAGUUCUAUGAAACUGAUAGCAGUGGAACAACAAAAUCUAUUCCAAAUGCUAUUGACAAUGAUGUUGGAUUUCUAAAUUCUCAAAUUACAUACCAACUGAAGAAAGAUAUUAAUGAUCCAUUUACGCUGUCAGUCAUCAAAAAGAUAGAUGGUACCAGAAAACUAAGAAUAGUUUUAGAAAAGAAACUUGACCGAGAGAUAAAUUCCACUUAUACACUUCAGGUGAUUGCUAAAGAUGGUGGCUCUCCAUCACACCAGGGUAUUUUAACCAUUCAUGUAUCUGUCACUGAUGAGAAUGACAAUCAACCAGUUUUCUCCAAAAACGUUUAUAAUGUCUCCAUUAACAACAGACAAGACAUAUACACACCAAUUGUUACAGUAUAUGCUACAGAUUUAGAUUCGGGUGAAAAUGGAAAAGUUUCAUACUAUUUCAGUUCAAAAACUUCCGAUUUUGCAAAAACAUUAUUUUACUUAAAUGAAACAUCAGGCAAGAUUUUCUUAGCUAGAAAUUUUCCAUCAAUAAAAAGAAAAACAUUCAAAUUAUUUAUUGAUGCCAUUGAUAAAGGAAGUCCACCCUUGAGUUCUACUGCAAUGGUUCUUGUGAAUAUAAUAAACAGAGAAAAUAAUGCCCCAAUUCUUGAUGUCAAGUUUGUCUCUGAGCCAAUAGGCAAUAUAACAACAAUUUCUGAAGGUGUCAAAACCAAUAGUUUUAUUGCUUAUGUGAAAGUAAGUGACAAUGAUGUCAAUCAAAAUGGAGAAGUGGUAUGUGAUCUCAACCAUGAUAAACUACAGCUUCAAAAGCUUGGAAGAAAAAAAUACAAAGUUGUUUUAAAAAACCCUGUAGACAGGGAAUCAGAGAGCUAUAUUGAUUUUAUGAUUAGUUGUCAGGACAAAGGAUCGCCACCUCUCAGAACUGAAAGAAAGUUCAAUAUUCAAGUGACUGAUGUCAAUGAUGUACAGCCACAAUUCACAAAAGAUACAUUCAAAUUUCUCACAUAUGAAAACGAGAAAUCAAAUUUUCCAGUUGGUUUUAUUAAUGCCUCCGACCCAGACUUAGGAGCUGGAGGUCAACUUUCAUAUUUUCUCUUAAGUAAAGGAAUUCAUAAUCUUCCUUUUGAAAUUUCUAAUUUUGGAUUUAUUUCAACUUCAGAAUCAUUAGACCGGGAACAAAGAGAUGUUUAUAAGUUCCAAGUUUUAAUAAGAGACAACGGGAUACCAUCUCUCAACAACACAGCUAAUAUCAUUGUGGAAGUUAUGGAUAAAAAUGACAAUGCUCCCUAUUUUACCUUUCCAAGUGUCAACCCUUUUAGCCUGGAUGUUCACUACCAACCUCAAAGUAACAACGAGGUGACAGUAUUGAGAGCUUCUGACAGAGACAGUCAUGUCAAUGCUUUCUUGAAAUAUGAAAUAGAAGGAGGCAACAACAAGCAGCUCUUUACAAUCAACCCUUAUACAGGUGUGAUAUCGUAUUCACGUACAGUUUAUCAAAACGAUGCUGGGUCAUAUGAUCUUCAGUUAAUAGUCAAAGACAGUGGAACUCCUGUUUUGUCUGCAAAAACUAUUCUCUCUGUGGCAUUAACAGUCAGUAAUACAACAUCUAAGAUGUUUACAUCUGUUGAUAUAAAAUCUGACCACAAGAUACAUAUUAACCUGGUGGUUAUCAUCGUUGUAGCAGCUGUGAUUAUAUCAGUUGCAAUUGUGAUUUCUAUGGCAGUAUGUAUGAUUCAUAAAAACAACCAAAGGAACAGCAGAUUUAAUGGAGGUUUAAACAAUCCCAAUAAGCUCUUUGAUGAAAGAAUUCAGUAUGAUGUUCCUGUUGCAAUGGUAACAGAACAUGGCAACAGUAGACAUUCUCAAGCAAACUUAUUAAAAAGGGAACCAGAAUCUGAAUACAAAUCAGUUCAUAGUCUGAAAGGACUGUCAUCAGUGAAGCACACCUACACCAUGGCACAGAGAUCACACCAGUCUUUAGGAGGCUGCAGUGACAUCUGGUGUUAGUAAAGAACAUGAACUUAUGCUCAUACCUACUGACCAUUUCAAUAAAAUAUCAACUAUGUCUUCUGAUAGUGACAGUGGACAUGGAUGGAGUGAGAGAAAUACAGUACAUUAUGAAACCUUACCAGGUUUCAAGCAUUGUCAAGAGGAUCAACAGCAACACAAAAGUAGGAGUUCUUUACCAUGGACAACACACAAACCCAAGGAUAUUUCUACAAAACC